GAUGAAGAACGCAGCGAAAUGCGAUAAGUAAUGUGAAUUGCAGAAUUCGGUGAAUCAUCGAAUCUUUGAACGCACAUUGCGCCCGCCAGUAUUCUGGCGGGCAUGCCUGUUCGAGCGUCAUUACAACCCUCAGGCCCCCGGGCCUGGCGUUGGGGAUCGGCGGAGCCCCCCGUGGGCACACGCCGUCCCCCAAAUACAGUGGCGGUCCCGCCGCAGCUUCCAUCGCGUAGUAGCUAACACCUCGCGACUGGAGAGCGGCGCGGCCACGCCGUAAAACACCCAACUCUUCUGAAGUUGACCUCGAAUCAGGUAGGAAUACCCGCUGAACUUAAGCAUAUCAAUAAGCGGAGGA
rnacentral:misc_RNA from 1 species